UGGGGAAUAUUGGACAAUGGGCGCAAGCCUGAUCCAGCAAUGCCGCGUGUGUGAAGAAGGCCUUCGGGUUGUAAAGCACUUUCAAUAAGGAAGAAAGACACUACAGUAAUAUUGUAGUGGGAUGACGUUACUUAUAAAAGAAGCACCGGCUAACUCUGUGCCAGCAGCCGCGGUAAUACAGAGGGUGCGAGCGUUAAUCGGAAUUACUGGGCGUAAAGCGCGCGUAGGCGGAGUGAUAAGUCGGAUGUGAAAUCUUUGGGCUCAACCCAAAAACUGCAUACGAUACUGUUAGUCUAGAGUAUGGUAGAGGAAGGUGGAAUUUCUGGUGUAGCGGUGAAAUGCGUAGAUAUCAGAAGGAAUAUCAGUGGCGAAGGCGACCUUCUGGGCCAAUACUGACGCUGAGGUGCGAAAGCGUGGGUAGCGAACAGG
rnacentral:rRNA from 1 species